rnacentral:rRNA from 1 species
ACGAGAUGCUACGGCGUCGAAGCAGUCUAUGUCAUACUUCCAAGAAAAGCUUGCACUGUCAUAAACAAAUAAUGCCUGUACCAUAACCGACACAGGUGGGUAGGUAGAGUAUACUAAGGGGCGCGAGAUAACUCUCUCUAAGGAACUCGGCAAAAUGACUCCGUAACUUCGGGAGAAGGAGUGCCUUAUUUAUAAGGUUGCAAUAACAAGAUCCAAGCAACUGUUUACCAAAAACACAGGUCUCCGCUAAGUCGUAAGACGAUGUAUGGGGGCUGACGCCUGCCCAGUGCCAGAAGGUUAAAGAAGUUGGUUAGCAUCCGCGAAGCUGAUAACUGAAGCCCUGGUGAACGGCGGCCGUAACAAUAACGGUCCUAAGGUAGCGAAAUUCCUUGUCGGGUAAGUUCCGACCCGCACGAAAGGCGUAAUGAUUUGGAUACUGUCUCGGAGAGGGGCUCGGUGAAAUAGACUUGUCUGUGAAGAUGCGGACUACCUGCACCAGGACAGAAAGACCCUAUGAAGCUUUACUGUAACCUGAAAUUGAAAUUGGACUUUACUUGCGCAGUAUAGGUGGGAGGCGUUGAGAAUAUUCUUGCGGGAUUAUUGGAGCCAUCAGUGAGAUACCACUCUUGUAAUGUUAGAUUUCUAACUUUGUAUCAUUAUCUGGUCAAAGAACAGUUUCAGGCGGGCAGUUUGACUGGGGCGGUCGCCUCCUAAACGGUAACGGAGGCGCACAAAGGUUUCCUCUGAACGGGUAGAAAUCGUAUCUAGAGUGUAAAGGCAUAAGGAAGCUUGACUGUGAGACCUACAAGUCGAGCGGGGACGAAAGUCGGUCUUAGUGAUCUGACGGUGCUGAGUGGAAAGGCCGUCACUCAACGGAUAAAAGUUACUCUAGGAUAACAGGCUGAUCUCCCCCAAGAGUUCACAUCGACGGGGAGGUUUGGCACCUCGAUGUCGGCUCAUCGCAUCCUGGGGCGGUAGUACGUCCCAAGGGUUGGGCUGUUCGCCCAUGAAAGCGGUACGCGAGCUGGGUUCAGAACGUCGUGAGACAGUUCGGUCCAUAUCCGGUGUAGGCGUUAGAAUAUUGAGAGGAGCCUUCUUUAGUACGAGAGGACCGAGAAGGACAUACCUCUGGUGUACCAGUUAUCGUGCCAACGGUAAACGCUGGGUAGCUAUGUGUGGAGUGGAUAACCGCUGAAAGCAUCUAAGUGGGAAGCCCACCUCAAGAUAAGUAUUCUC